rnacentral:rRNA from 1 species
GACUUCUGGAAGGGGUGUAUUUAUUAGAUAAAAAACCAAUCGUAGCAAUACGUUUACUGGUGAAUCAUGAUAACUAUUCGAAUCGCAUAGCUUUGCUGGCGAUGGUUCAUUCAAAUUUCUGCCCUAUCACCUUUCGAUGGUAGUAUAGAGGACUACCAUGGGUAUAACGGGUAACGGAGAAUUAGGGUUCGAUUCCGGAGAGGGAGCCUGAGAAACGGCUACCACAUCCAAGGAAGGCAGCAGGCGCGCAAAUUACCCAAUCCCGAUACGGGGAGGUAGUGACAAUAAAUAACAAUACAGAGCUUUUCAAGUUUUGUAAUUGUAAUGAGAACAAAUUAAACCUCUUAACGAGAACCAAUUGGAGGGCAAGUCUGGUGCCAGCAGCCGCGGUAAUUCCAGCUCCAAUAGCGUAUAUUAAAGUUGUUGCAGUUAAAAAGCUCGUAGUUGAACUUUGGCCUUGGCUGGGCGGUCUACUCGAAUGAGUAGUACUUCUCUGGCUGAGGCUUUCCUUCUGGCGAACUAUUGUGCCAUUCACUUGGUGCGAUAGGGAACCAGGACUUUUACUUUGAAAAAAUUAGAGUGUUUAAAGCAGGCUUACGCUUGAAUACAUUAGCAUGGAAUAAUAAAAUAGGACUUUGGUUUUAUUUUGUUGGUUUUCGAAACCGAAGUAAUGAUUAAUAGGGAUAGUUGGGGG